UGGUUACAUCAUAACUGCAGGAACCUGGUUUCAUCCAUCUUCAGCCACUCAGAUAAAGAAUGCUCUUGGAAGGCAAGAAGCAGUGACAAUCUGUUCACUUGGUAACAUCCUCUGAAGAGAUCUGGGUCAGAGACAAGUUCUUGCUCUGUUGCCCAGCCUGGAGCGCAGUGGCGUGAUCAUGGCUCACUGCAGCCUUAACCUUCUGGGCUUAAGUGAUCGUCCUGUCUCAGUCCCCCAAGUAGCUGGGACUACAGUUCUCUAUCCUGCAAGUAAUGAAGCAUCCUCUGGAGGAGCAUCAAAGCAGAGAGAAAGCACCCAGCCAUCCUGAGAACCACAUCACUCUCUCCACCAGUCAUUCAGCUAUGCCUCUCAAUCAUCAGAGUUACGAGUCUGCAAAUUGGAGGCUUCAAAUGUCUUUAACUGCUUAGAAUAUGUGGGUGAGGUAUAAUUUCGCUUUAUUUAGCUUAUUUACUAUCAAAAUAAGCAAGUUAGAUUUAUAGAAAAUAACUAGGAUCUCUGAGGCAUGAAGCAGGGUAUCAAAUACAGGCAGACUUCGGAGAUGUCGUGGGCUCGGUUCCAGAUCACCACAGUAAAGCAAUGUCACAUGAAUUUGUUGGUGUCCCAGUGCAUAUAAAGUUAUGUUGACAAUACUGCAGUCUAGUAACUGUGCAAUAGCAUCAUGUCUAAAAUAAUUUAUAUAACUUAAUUUAAAAAUACCUUCUGUUAAAAAAUGCUAACGAUCAUCAGAGCCUUCAGUGACUUUCACUCUUUUUGCUGGUGGAGGGUCUUGUUUUGAUGUUGAUGGUUGCUGACUGAUCAGGGUGUUGGUUAUGGCAAUUUCCUAAAAUAAAACAACGAUGAAAUUGGCUGCA
rnacentral:lncRNA from 1 species